UUUGUUUCUAUCUUUGUACUAAUCCCUAUUUCAGUUUGUGUCACGGGAUUGUGAUUAAUGCCUUUGAAGUUUUCUUAUGAUAGGUUUGGGUUUUAGUUGUUAUUUAAUUAUUGAGGUUGAUUGUUGGUGCGCACAUAAUGUUAUACCUGGAUUUCCUAGUUAAGAAAAUGCGAUGUCUCUAAGCUUCGGCAAGGCGUAUAUUCCUUUCCCUUGUUCUAGUUACCUCCUGUUUUUACGAUUUUCGACUAUGAGUUUUGAUUGUAAUUUCUUUAUGAUGAUAAAUCUUUUUGCAACUGGUUAAAUGGUUUGACAAUGAGGCGUGAUGGAGUGUUACAUGGCUGCAUAUAUUUGAGUGGAGGAUGAGCGUUGUUUACAUUAUACCUAAUCAUUAGAAAAUUAAGAAGGAAUAUACCUAAUCAUUAGAAAAUUAAGAAGGAAGAACCACUAUUCAUUACUAGUUUUUGUGCUCUAUUUCCUUCCUGCUAACUGGAUAGUGUGGUUAGAGAAUCCAUCAGUCUUGUAUUAAUUUGUCUGACUGUAAUAGGUUGAAUGGUUGUAAUGUGCUUUAUUGUUAGGAUUAUCACACAUGUGAAUUUAGUUAAUGGUUUUCGGGGUACAAUGAGAUAAUUUGAUUCAUAAGUUUUGACAUUUACUAUUUGUAUUCAUAAAUUGCAACAGUGACAAAUUAUUUACUAUUUGUAUUCAUAAAUUGCAACAGUGACAAAUUGUCUUAUGGAUUGGCUUCCAUUUUCUGUUCUUUAUGUGAUUUAUUCAAAGUGAGUGUAAAUAUGAAGAUUGGUGUUUUGUUGCCUGUAAUUUAUCCUAAGGUAUGUGAUUCAAUGAGGGCCCCUUUUUGAAUUACCUUGUUUCUGCUAAAAUAAAUAUUUUAUUUUGUUUUGUUGGGUCUGAGAUUUAACAAAUGCCACAACUUGGUCCCUAUCAUUUUAAUGAGAAACAAUUUAGUCCCAAAAGUUUUAUUCUGCUAAGAAAAUAGUUUCUGUUAAAAUUCACUAUUAGACUAUAACAAUUUAGUCAAUCAAAUUUCACUUGUUAUAGCAGUUUAGUCCAUUUAAUUUUAAUAAUUUAUAACAAUUUAGUUUUUAUUGUUUUAUUUGUAAUAAUUAAGUUCCUUUAGUUUGAGUUGACCUCAUUAAUUUACUGAUAACUAAAGAUAAAUUAAUCAUAAGGCUAUUUGUUAAUAAAAUAAAAAUUCAGGGACUAAAUUCUUUACUAUUAAAAGAACAUAGACUAAAUUGUGGAUUUUGUUGAAUUUUCGAGACUAUAUUGUAAAUUACCCUAUUUUACUUUAUUUCAUUUUAUUUUAAAAUCUGUUUUGUUUGUGAGCUCGAAGAGAGUCCCUCUUGAGUGUCCUUUCUUUAGGGUUUCAUCAAAAUGUGGCCCUCUUAAAUAGUUGAAUUUCCUAUUGUUAGUAUUACUUUUUUAUUAAAUAAAUAAAUAAUUAAAAUAAUCACUCUUUUGAACUAAUUAUUUUCCGAGUGUUCGGAGAAUUUUCAGUAUUCUAAUUUCAAUUUCGAAUCUUCAUUGAAAAAUUUAUUAUUUAGUCCCUAAAUUUUAACUAAAACUAUGACUUGUUCUCUUGAUUUUGGAAAUUAAGAUACUUAAUUCCUGUGUUUUAGUUCCGUGGAAAUCACAAGUCCAACCGUAAUGAGAUUUGAAUUUCUGUAUUAGUCAAUGUUGAACUUAUGGUCAAAUGCAGGAGAAUUUCAUUUAGUGACCAAAAUGCCCCUAGUAAUUAGUUUAUAUUCAUUCCCUAAAUGAAUCUGUCUUCCUCAUAUC
rnacentral:lncRNA from 1 species